GGCUCCGUAGCUCAGCCGGAUAGAGCGACGGUUUCCUAAACCGCAGGUCGGGGGUUCGAGUCCCUCCGGGGCCA
rnacentral:tRNA from 1 species